GCAGUACAGAUCAAACUUCAUUCUCAAACCACCACCAAAUAUCUCCCAACUUCUAUAUACAUUAACUCUUAUAAAGUACAAUUCAUGAACUGUAAAAUUAAAAAUUAGAAUGGAAGUUUAAUUGUACCUCUUGGCAUAACGACACUAAUCUCUGACUUAUAAAUAUUGGUUAUAGUUGCUCCUGGAUGAAGAGAGUUUGCUGUAAUAUCUACCCUAUUUUCCUGACAAAUAUGCCAUGAGUAAUAUUAGAUAUAGCAUAGACAAUAAUGAGGAAAAAUAAAAAAGUUUUAAGAUAUAGCAUAGACAAUGAGUAAUAUUGGUUAUAGUUUCAAGAUGUCAGUCUGACUACAAGACCCAUUUGGUCUGAUACUCAAUUGUUAGAGGUCAACUUUAGUAAUCUUUCAAUAAUUCUUACAAAUUUUUAUGACAAUUUUGUACUAAGACUUUUAUGCAAAUGUUUGUACAUAAGAAUUCUGGACGUAGUUGAAUUGUUUAAUCUAGAUUUGGUGUUUGGAAAAAGUUAGAAUAAAUAGAAUAAAAAAGUGUAAUUGGUUUGGUGAUUGAUAUUGUAACUGAAAAGACGUGAUAGUAGAAAGUACCAAGAUAUGUGACUGGCAGCGGGAAUGAGAUAAAUUUUAUCACUGCUAGUUAACUUUUGGAGCAAACAGAAAUGUACCAAGAUAUGUUAUCAGUACCAACUAGUUUGAAGGGUCCCACAGAAAUGGUGGAGUCAGAGGGAGAUUUGAUGGUUAAAUUAUUUGGUCAAAUGGAAAUCCAUGAUGGCCCUUGUAUGCAAGCCUAAGGGAAUUGCACUUACUCAGAAGUAAUUAAUUAGUUUUAGUUUUGUCCUGUCAAAUUGCAAGUGUGACCUAACUGGGUCCAUGUACUUGAAGCAAUCAUGNAACANAUUUAUUCCUCAGCAAGCACAAAACCAAGGGAUUCAAGUUUAGCUCCAAAAGAAUAAAAGAUGAGACACUUAGGCUGUACUGUAAAUUGUAUCUGAUCAGAUAGAUAAAGUGAAUAAACCUAAGGUUGCCACUGAUUUCUGAUCACUCUAACAAACCAUCAUAACAGUGCAAACAGAGAGAAUUUGUCAAUCACAUUAUCAUCAUCAUCAUCAUUAUUGUUAUUUAUCAUCAUCAUGAUUACAGUUUAUCUUAUGAUCUUAGACAAAUCAGUAAAACUGUGAAGACUGAAAGGAAAAAUAGAACUUAUUAUUUUUAUUAAAGAAUGAUUUGUCCUUGCCUCAAAAGGUUAAAGCUAUGCUUAGUGGUUUGUUUAGGAUUGUUUUGAAGAGUAGAGUUAAAAUGCAUGUGUGGAUGAAUGCCACUUAAUGCCUUCCAAAUAUGUGUUGUCAAUGGAUAUUAUUAUGUUUGAUUUAAGUGUUUAGUUAAACAAAAAUAGAAAUAACAUAAUAAAAGAACACUUCCAAUUUAGCCAGAUACAGCAAGCAAACAAAAAAGGUUAAAUGAAGUAAAAUGUGGCUUUAGACCAAUUAACAUUCUCUUCAAGCUAAGAGACUAACCUUUCAUGGUGUUAACCACCAUUUAUGAUUGGCCACAUGCAUUAAAUUUAAAACCAAAAAGAAAAUGCAGAUUUGAACUUAUCCCUGCUAUUUUGACUUCAANCCCUUCUAAUAAGCCAAAUUGCUAAAAGUAAAUGGUUCCUUCCUCCUCAAAAAUUCUAACACCAAAUCACACAAACAAAAAAAGGGGGGAAAACAACCCAGCCAAGCUAACUGCACUCUUCCCAUCACUCUCCUGUCCCUAUCUUCCCUGUCUCAACCAACCGAACUGGUUAAAAAAAAGUAAAAACUGAACUAUGAACCACUCAAACUAUAAAAACAAAAACCCAACAUGGUCAAAAAAGUUUUCUUUUUCUCCUGUCAACAUUAUGUUGAAUAAAAUAUAGCAGUGAUAAAUUUUAUAUCUCUCUUUCUUUCAUGCCUUUUUCUUCACUUCAAACUCACUUUUAUAUAUCUCCUUUUGAAUCAAAACCAUAACCAAAACCAACCUACCUUUCUAGCUACCACUUUUAUAUAUCAAACUCCUAAAUCAUAUCUCUCUCGCUCUCUCCCUCUCUCUCUCUCUCUAUAUAUAUAUAUAUACAUGGACCAUGCAAUAAAACAAACAAUAUAUUUUAAGGUUUAUUUAUGUACAAAGGUGGUUUGUUUUUUUACUGUGCAAUUGAACUUAAAUUGUGUUCAUAGAAAGAUGAAUGAAAAUAUUUGGAUUGGUUUAGGAGAUAGAAAUAGGUGGUGGGAUUUCAAAUUCUUGGUUUUUCAAUGGGAAACUGUGACUGGUGUUUGACUACACAAAUGGGAAAAAGAGAGAGUGAAAUCUGUCUCAAAAGCGAAAUUUGUUUUUAUGUUAUGUACCUUGAGUUCUGUGAUCUCCAAGAACAAACACUGAGCAAAGUUGAUAUGGAAGCAAAUUGUUUAUUUAUUUUGUGGUAAAGGCAUUGAAAUUUAUGAACAUUUAAGAUCUCUGCAUAAUAGGUUCCAAAACAUGAUCAGUCAGGUGAGGACCUAAACACAUGUUUAUAUAUGUAUAUGUNNNNNNNNNNNNNNNNNNNNNNNNNNNNNNNNNNNNNNNNNNNNNNNNNNNNNNNNNNNNNNNNNNNNNNNNNNNNNNNNNNNNNNNNNNNNNNNNNNNNNNNNNNNNNNNNNNNNNNNNNNNNNNNNNNNNNNNNNNNNNNNNNAUCUCUUUUCAUUUUGUAAAAGGAAAAAUAGUAACAGUCAGAAAGACACACAUAGUACUUAACAUAGGUCAUGACAGCAUCUAAUAAUACAUUGCCUUUAAUUCCCAUCAACACCCUUCUCAACUUCUCACUCACUGUUUCCCUUCAUUUACUAAUUCUAAUCAUAUCAAAAAUACUAUUCUUAUUACUUUCAUAGCUUCUUCUGGUAAACAAAAUAAUCUAAAAGUGAUAUAUUGUGUUCUCUCGUGUGACUAUAUAAGUUUCAUUUUAUUGUUUUGGUCAUUUUAGAUACUCAUAAAGAUAUCACUAAGGUCUAUUAUAUCAAUAAGAACAACCAGAGACAUGUAUGCGGAGGCAAUUAGGGGAUUGGUUUGGGAGUUAUCUAGCAACAUUCAUAACUGGCAAGGGAUGAGCGAUCUGUCCUACUAGUGAAAUGACACAACCAAAGGGAAGAGAGGAAGAUACAUUGGCUUCUGCAACACUAAUUUCUAGUUUUUAGUUCCAGUGACUUCAGCAGCAGUAUCAUAGACUUUUAGUUCCAGUGUCCUACCGAAGUACUUUGGCAUGGUUGACAACCACAUAAAUGUUGUUUAAAAAUCUAAAUAGAAAGCUCAGACGGACAUCCACAAUGACAACGGUCAAGAAUUUUUAAGGAACUCAGGGAAACUUAGAAUGGCUCUAAACAACGGUCAAACCUAAUCGAGAUUUAGUAACCCAAACCAAGUUUCAAAAGCAAUCUACCCCAAAUCCAAUACUCAUGAACCACAGAAACCUUACACCAAACCAAUCAAGCAUCGUACACGAUACCCAAGUAGAACCAAUUAAAUAGGUUUGAGUAUUUUUCAAAUUACCAAAAGUAGGCUAGGUUCAGCUUCAAUGCAAUUCCUAAUUCAAUGCAAGAGACGAGGGCAAAGGGCGAAAUCCAGCAGUGAAUGGUGGAGAAGAGCGGAGGCGAAUCCAAGCAGGGCAAGUGCCCUGCAGCUCGAACCCUAGGGGUUGAGCAACAAGGAAGUGCUUGCGGUGGCUACUUCAGACGCGCGACAGUGGUGGCCACACGCGGAAAGUGUAUGCUAUGUGUGCGUGAUGAUGGAAAGAAGCGACGAAGAGCCAACGGAGCAAAGCUUAUGAGUGAAGAGAGACGCAAGGGGUUUACAGACGAAGAAGAGAGGGAAAGUGAAAUGAAAUUAGAGAAAGGGAAAUGUGAGUAGGGAGGAAGAGAUAUUAUAACUGGUUUCUGAAAUUCCGUUAUAAUACAUAAAGAAAUUUUUCUACUUAUUUACAAGUUUGCCACCGC
rnacentral:lncRNA from 1 species